GUGAAUAUAGUUUAUUAAAACACUAGCUUGUGAUUCUAGAAACGGGAAUUAACUACUCCCUAUUCACC
rnacentral:tRNA from 1 species